rnacentral:rRNA from 1 species
GAUGAACGCUGGCGGUAUGCUUAACACAUGCAAGUCGAACGGACUCUUCGGAGUUAGUGGCCGCCGGGGGUGUAACGCGUGAGAAUAUGGCCUUGGGUUUGGGGCAACCACUGGAAACGGUUGCUAAUACCGGAUGUGCCGAAAGAUAAAAGAGAAAUUGCCUGAACAUGAGCUCGCGUUUGAUUAGCUAGUUGGUGAGGUAAAGGCACACCAAGGCAGCGCUCAGUAGCUGGGCUGAGAGGAUGACCAGCCAAACGGGCAAUGAGACACGGCCCAGACGCAUACGGGAGGAAGGGGGGAGGAAUGUUGCGCAAAGGCCGAAAGACUGACGGAGGAAUACCGCGCGAGGGAAUAAGGCUCUAGGGAUGAAAACCUCUUUACUUAGGUAAGAACGAAAUGACGGUACCUAAGGAGUAAGCAUCGGCUAACUACGUG